UUGGCUGGAAAGCCUGGGUAAUCUUCUGAAACUUCAUCGUGCUGGGGCUAGUCCCUUGCAAUUAUUGGACUUAAACGAGGAAUUCCUAGUAAGCGUGAGUCAUCAGCUCGCGUUGAUUACGUCCCUGCCC
rnacentral:rRNA from 1 species